rnacentral:rRNA from 1 species
UCCAGACUCCUACGGGAGGCAGCAGUGGGGGAUAUUGCACAAUGGGGGAAACCCUGAUGCAGCGACGCCGCGUGAGUGAAGAAGUAUUUCGGUAUGUAAAGCUCUCUCAGCAGGGAAGAAAAAAGACGGUACCUGACUAAGAAGCCCCGGCUAACUACGUGCCAGCAGCCGCGGUAAUACGUAGGGGGCAAGCGUUAUCCGGAUUUACUGGGUGUAAAGGGAGCGUAGGCGGUUAGAUAAGUCUGAUGUGAAAGCCCCCAGCUUAACUGUGGGAUUGCAUUGGAAACUAUAGAACUAGAGUGUCGGAGAGGUAAGUGGAAUUCCUAGUGUAGCGGUGAAAUGCGUAGAUAUUAGGAGGAACACCAGUGGCGAAGGCGGCUUACUGGACGAUGACUGACGCUGAGGCUCGAAAGCGUGGGGAGCAAACAGGAUUAGAUACCCGUGUA